rnacentral:lncRNA from 1 species
GAGCCCUGUGCCUACUAGCUGUAUGACCUUCUCUGGACUUCAGUUCACAUCUGUGUAAAACAAAGAUAACUUGCCUCAUGGAGUAACUUGUGAGUAUGACAUGACACGUAAUAAAGUAAGUGAGAAGGGCUGGAAUUACAAGCGUCAGCCACUGCACCCAGCCUACAGAGGGAGUUUAAGCCCAGCUAGUUUGUAUGGGUUUUGUCUCUUUGUAUCUUCAGCACAUUAAAGCAAAGUCACUUUGGUAAACAGCAAACACUCAGAUGAUCUGCUUGUGUACACUGCAGUGACUAAGAUGUAGUUGCUGCCCUCCAAGGUCUAACACCUGGGUCUGAGUGGUGGUGUCCAAAAGACC